rnacentral:rRNA from 1 species
UACAGAGGGGGCAAGCGUUGUUCGGAAUUACUGGGCGUAAAGGGCGCGUAGGCGGCCCGCUAAGUCGAACGUGAAAUCCCCGAGCUCAACUCGGGAACUGCGUCCGAUACUGGUGGGCUUGAAUCCGGGAGAGGGAUGCGGAAUUCCAGGUGUAGCGGUGAAAUGCGUAGAUAUCUGGAGGAACACCGGUGGCGAAGGCGGCAUCCUGGACCAACACUGACACUGAGGAGCGAAAGCCAGGGGAGCAAACGGG